GUAAAGGUCUAUUUUGAUAUUGAAAUAUGAAAAAUCAGUUUAAAAUGUUAGUUCCUAUGGCUUUAUGAUGUAUUUAUAUGAAUUUAAAGCAAAGGUCAAAAUCUAGAACGUCCUUUUAACCUAUGACCUUGACCUAAAUUUCAAGGUCACAAUUCAAGGACCUUAAAUCAUAAGACCCUAGGUCUUUAAUAUGUUUGGUUAAUGAGUAAUACCACUUUACGCGUAAUUCUAAAUGUAAGAUGGACAAAAACUCCAAUUUAUUGUAUGCGCACCCUUUCAACCAAAAUAUACAAGUAAGGACUUGUCGCAACUAACAAUUUAGGAAAAAAUAUUUGUCAAUAUGUCAUACAGUAUUUGAAAAUAAGUGAAAAUAAGCCAAAAUCAAAUUUUAGAAUAUGACCUUGACCUUUGACCUUGACCUUAUUUUCAUUUUUUUGGACCAAGGAUCUCAAAUCAAGAGACCCUAGGUCUCUAUCACUUAUGGUUUACCAGUUAGAAAUGCAUAUCACUUAUAUCAAAUGCAUAAGGGGAAAUAACUCUCAUAUCCAGAUAGCUUCGGUCCAAAUGAAUUGCCUAAUCCUGAAGAAGUAAUGAGCAAUUUGGUAAAAUAAAUUUGUCGUAAUCUUUUACGGUUGCGAAGGAGUAGUGGCCACAAGAAAAACAGUGUUUGGGGAGAUAACUCUUACAACGUAAAGUAUUUUGUUACGCAGUUGUAAAUUUUUAACGCGUAUAAACUAUACGACAUCAUAUUCCAAAUAUCUAAGCGACAUCUUCUGAAACAUCAAUACUACGCAAGAAAAAAAUUUAGGCGGAAGAAAAAA
rnacentral:lncRNA from 1 species